AUUGAACGCUGGCGGCAGGCCUAACACAUGCAAGUCGAACGAGUGGCGGACGGGUGAGUAAUGUCUGGGAAACUGCCUGAUGGAGGGGGAUCACUACUGGAAACGGUAGCUAAUACCGCAUACCAUCAGAUUUGCCAAGAUGGGAUUAGCUAGUUGGUGGGUUAACGGCGCACCAAGGCGACGCUCCCUAGCUGGUCUGCGAGGAUGACCAGCCACAGUGGAACGGAGACACGGUCCAGACUCCUACGGGAGGCAGCAGGGGGGAAGAUUGCACAAUGGGCGCAAGCCUGAGGCAGCCAUGCCGGGUGUAUGAAGAAGGCCUUCGGGUUGUAAAGUACUUUCAGCGGGGAGGCGUUACCCGCAGAAGAAGCACCGGCUAACUCCGUGCCAGCCGCCGCGGUAAUUC
rnacentral:rRNA from 1 species